UGGGGAAUAUUGGACAAUGGGCGAAAGCCUGAUCCAGCCAUGCCGCGUGUGUGAAGAAGGCCUUUUGGUUGUAAAGCACUUUAAGUGGGGAGGAAAAGCUUAUGGUUAAUACCCAUAAGCCCUGACGUUACCCACAGAAUAAGCACCGGCUAACUCUGUGCCAGCAGCCGCGGUAAUACAGAGGGUGCAAGCGUUAAUCGGAAUUACUGGGCGUAAAGCGCGCGUAGGUGGUUAUUUAAGUCAGAUGUGAAAGCCCCGGGCUUAACCUGGGAACUGCAUCUGAUACUGGAUAACUAGAGUAGGUGAGAGGGGGGUAGAAUUCCAGGUGUAGCGGUGAAAUGCGUAGAGAUCUGGAGGAAUACCGAUGGCGAAGGCAGCUCCCUGGCAUCAUACUGACACUGAGGUGCGAAAGCGUGGGUAGCAAACAGGAUUAGAUACCCUGGUAGUCCACGCCGUAAACGAUGUCUACCAGUCGUUGGGUCUUUUAAAGACUUAGUGACGCAGUUAACGCAAUAAGUAGACCGCCUGGGGAGUACGGCCGCAAGGUUA
rnacentral:rRNA from 1 species